rnacentral:rRNA from 1 species
GCUCCCUGAUGUUAGCGGCGGACGGGUGAGUAACACGUGGGUAACCUGCCUGUAAGACUGGGAUAACUCCGGGAAACCGGGGCUAAUACCGGAUGGUUGUUUGAACCGCAUGGUUCAGACAUAAAAGGUGGCUUCGGCUACCACUUACAGAUGGACCCGCGGCGCAUUAGCUAGUUGGUGAGGUAACGGCUCACCAAGGCAACGAUGCGUAGCCGACCUGAGAGGGUGAUCGGCCACACUGGGACUGAGACACGGCCCAGACUCCUACGGGAGGCAGCAGUAGGGAAUCUUCCGCAAUGGACGAAAGUCUGACGGAGCAACGCCGCGUGAGUGAUGAAGGUUUUCGGAUCGUAAAGCUCUGUUGUUAGGGAAGAACAAGUGCCGUUCAAAUAGGGCGGCACCUUGACGGUACCUAACCAGAAAGCCACGGCUAACUACGUGCCAGCAGCCGCGGUAAUACGUAGGUGGCAAGCGUUGUCCGGAAUUAUUGGGCGUAAAGGGCUCGCAGGCGGUUUCUUAAGUCUGAUGUGAAAGCCCCCGGCUCAACCGGGGAGGGUCAUUGGAAACUGGGGAACUUGAGUGCAGAAGAGGAGAGUGGAAUUCCACGUGUAGCGGUGAAAUGCGUAGAGAUGUGGAGGAACACCAGUGGCGAAGGCGACUCUCUGGUCUGUAACUGACGCUGAGGAGCGAAAGCGUGGGGAGCGAACAGGAUUAGAUACCCUGGUAGUCCACGCCGUAAACGAUGAGUGCUAAGUGGUUAGGGGGUUUCCGCCCCUUAGUGCUGCAGCUAACGCAUAAGCACUCCGCCUGGGGGAGUACGGUCGCAAGACUGAACUCAAGGAAAUUGACGGGGGCCGC